UUUACGGGAGGCAGCAGUGGGGAAUAUUGGACAAUGGGCGAAAGCCUGAUCCAGCAAUGCCGCGUGAGUGAUGAAGGCCUUAGGGUUGUAAAGCUCUUUUACCCGGGAUGAUAAUGACAGUACCGGGAGAAUAAGCUCCGGCUAACUCCGUGCCAGCAGCCGCGGUAAU
rnacentral:rRNA from 1 species